CUGGUAGUGGGGGAUAACGUNCGGAANNGGGCGCUAAUACCGCAUACGUCCUNNNGGAGAAAGUGGGGGAUCUUCGGACCUCACGCUAUCAGAUGAGCCUAGGUCGGAUUAGCUAGUUGGUGGGGUAAAGGCNUACCAAGGCGACGAUCCGUAACUGGUCUGAGAGGAUGAUCAGUCACACUGGAACUGAGACACGGUCCAGACUCCUACGGGAGGCAGCAGUGGGGAAUAUUGGACAAUGGGCGAAAGCCUGAUCCAGCCAUGCCGCGUGUGUGAAGAAGGUCUUCGGAUUGUAAAGCACUUUAAGUUGGGAGGAAGGGCAGUAAGUUAAUACCUUGCUGUUUUGACGUUACCNACAGAAUAAGCACCGGCUAACUNNNUGCCAGCAGCCGCGGUAAUACNAAGGGUGCAAGCGUUAAUCGGAAUUACUNNNGUAAAGCGCGCGUAGGUGGUUCANCAAGUUGGAUGUGAAAUCCCCGGGCUCAACCUGGGAACUGCAUCCAAAACUANNGAGCUAGAGUNNGGUAGAGGGUGGUGGAAUUUCCUGUGUAGCGGUGAAAUGCGUAGAUAUAGGNNNGAACACCAGUGGCNAAGGCNACCACCUGGNCUGAUNCUGAC
rnacentral:rRNA from 1 species